rnacentral:rRNA from 1 species
GGGGCUAGCGUUGUUCGGCAUUACUGGGCGUAAAGCGCACGUAGGCGGAUUGGAAAGUCAGAGGUGAAAUCCCAGGGCUCAACCUUGGAACUGCCUUUGAAACUCCCAGUCUUGAGGUCGAGAGAGGUGAGUGGAAUUCCGAGUGUAGAGGUGAAAUUCGUAGAUAUUCGGAGGGACACCAGUGGCGAAGGCGGCUCACUGGCUCGAUACUGACGCUGAGGUGCGAAAGCGUGGGGAGCAAACAGG